rnacentral:rRNA from 1 species
UACGUAGGGUGCAAGCGUUGUCCGGAAUUAUUGGGCGUAAAGAGCUCGUAGGCGGUCUGUCACGUCGGCUGUGAAAACCCGAGGCUCAACCCCGAGCCUGCAGUCGAUACGGGCAGACUAGAGUGCUGUAGGGGAGACUGGAAUUCCUGGUGUAGCGGUGAAAUGCGCAGAUAUCAGGAGGAACACCGGUGGCGAAGGCGGGUCUCUGGGCAGUAACUGACGCUGAGGAGCGAAAGCGUGGGGAGCGAACAGG